AUCUCUCCUCAGCCUUCUGGCUGAGAUCAAGUGUACUAU
rnacentral:snRNA from 1 species